AGUGAACGCUGGCGGUAUGCCUAACACAUGCAAGUCGAACGGCAGCACAGUAAGAGCUUGCUCUUACGGGUGGCGAGUGGCGGACGGGUGAGGAAUACAUCGGAAUCUACUUUUUCGUGGGGGAUAACGUAGGGAAACUUACGCUAAUACCGCAUACGACCUACGGGUGAAAGCAGGGGAUCUUCGGACCUUGCGCGAUUGAAUGAGCCGAUGUCGGAUUAGCUAGUUGGCGGGGUAAAGGCCCACCAAGGCGACGAUCCGUAGCUGGUCUGAGAGGAUGAUCAGCCACACGGGAACUGAGAAACGGUCCAGACUCCUACGGGAGGCAGCAGUGGGGAAUAUUGGACAAUGGGGGCAAGCCUGAUACAGCCAUACCGCGUGGGUGAAGAAGGCCUUCGGGUUGUAAAGCCCUGUUGUUGGGAAAGAAAAGCAGCAGGUUAAUACCCCGCUGUUCUGACGGUACCCAAAGAAUAAGCACCGGCUAACUUCGUG
rnacentral:rRNA from 1 species